GUGGGGUAAGUGAUGUAAAUUGAAAUGUGGUGAAUAGUUGAAAAGUUGAAACUUGAAAAGGGAAGGUCAAAGAUUCAUUCUCAUGUAAAAAUUUUAUACUUGCAAAAAGUGUUUGCGUUAAUACUAGAAACGACAUUCUCCCCUCUUAGGACCUCACUUUGAAAGCAGCAAGGGUAAAUAGUGCAUAAUGGCCCCCAUUUUUAUACAAAUGAAGAAGAAAUUGGUUUUAAGAGUCUCAUUUUUAUACGCCCCCCCAAAAAAUAAAAUAAUGAUAUACAUGUGUGAACUUUGUCAAAGUAAGAAAUGUAAGGUCCAUCAUUCCUUGCUUGUCCAUGUCUCAUUCAAAAGAAAAAAGAACUUACCACUUAUAUGCCACAAAACAAAGCAAACCAAGGAUGAGUAAUUUUACAAGAGGAAACACCUUGAAUCCCC
rnacentral:lncRNA from 1 species